rnacentral:tRNA from 1 species
GGGGAUUUAGCUCAGUGGUAGAGCGCUUGCCUAGCAUGCACCAGGCCCUGGGUUCGGUCCCCAGCUCCG